UUAACACAUGCAAGUCGAACGAUGAUCCGGUGCUUGCACCGGGGAUUAGUGGCGAACGGGUGAGUAACACGUGAGUAACCUGCCCUUAACUCUGGGAUAAGCCUGGGAAACUGGGUCUAAUACCGGAUAUGACUCCUCAUCGCAUGGUGGGGGGUGGAAAGCUUUUUUGUGGUUUUGGAUGGACUCGCGGCCUAUCAGCUUGUUGGUGAGGUAAUGGCUCACCAAGGCGACGACGGGUAGCCGGCCUGAGAGGGUGACCGGCCACACUGGGACUGAGACACGGCCCAGACUCCUACGGGAGGCAGCAGUGGGGAAUAUUGCACAAUGGGCGGAAGCCUGAUGCAGCGACGCCGCGUGAGGGAUGACGGCCUUCGGGUUGUAAACCUCUUUCAGUAGGGAAGAAGCGAAAGUGACGGUACCUGCAGAAGAAGCGCCGGCUAACUACGUGCCAGCAGCCGCGGUAAUACGUAGGGCGCAAGCGUUAUCCGGAAUUAUUGGGCGUAAAGAGCUCGUAGGCGGUUUGUCGCGUCUGCCGUGAAAGUCCGGGGCUCAACUCCGGAUCUGCGGUGGGUACGGGCAGACUAGAGUGAUGUAGGGGAGACUGGAAUUCCUGGUGUAGCGGUGAAAUGCGCAGAUAUCAGGAGGAACACCGAUGGCGAAGGCAGGUCUCUGGGCAUUAACUGACGCUGAGGAGCGAAAGCAUGGGGAGCGAACAGGAUUAGAUACCCUGGUAGUCCAUGCCGUAAACGUUGGGCACUAGGUG
rnacentral:rRNA from 1 species